GACGAACCGAGCGAACGUUAUUCGGAAUCACUGGGCUUAAAGGGCGCGUAGGCGGGCGAUCAAGUCAGGGGUGAAAGCCCCCAGCUCAACUGGGGAAGUGCCUCUGAUACUGGUCAUCUCGAGGGAGGUAGGGGCGUGCGGAACUUCCGGUGGAGCGGUGAAAUGCGUAGAUAUCGAGAGGAACACCUGUGGCGAAGGCGGGUUGCUGGGCCGACACUGACGCUGAUGCGCGAAAGCCAGGGGAGCGAACGGG
rnacentral:rRNA from 1 species